AACGGCCGUACCAUGCUGAAUAUACCGGUUCUCGUUAGAUCACCGAAGUUAAGCAUCAUUGGGCGCGGUCAGUUUUGGGUGGGUGACCACCUGGGAACACCGCGUGCCGUU
rnacentral:rRNA from 1 species